rnacentral:lncRNA from 1 species
GGGGACUAACAGAAAUAGCUAGGUAUCUCAGUCCUUGAGAAUUUUGACUUCAUUUGCAAUUAUUAUAAUUGGGUAACAAUUGUUACCUGUCCACCUGGUCCUUGGCACAGAGACUUGCUCAGGAAGAGAGGAAGCAGCCAGUUUUCACAGAUGCCCAGAGCAGAGCAGGCCAUGGAGGAUGGAAGGGGAGGACUUCUCAAUAGUGUUCUGUAGAUCUUCUUUGUGCUGCAUCUUACGUGUCUUAUUUCCCAGAUCCCACCACUGCAACUGUGUGACUCUAGAUUGUGGGACGGAGUCUUUAAACUUUAUGAUUUUGGAGUACCAACACAUAAGAACUGAAUAUUGAUGAAGCACUGCUGCGACAUGAGUUCUCAUGCUGCUAAUGAAAAAUGUGAUACUAAUAAUGAGAGUCUUUACUGUCAGUAAGAAAAUCAAGCUUCUGCUUAUGUGGUGUCUCUCAGUAUCCUUCCCUGCCACUGAAGGAAGAAAAAACCACCUGCACGCCUUCCCCUGAAGUCUUUCUUGAUAGUCCUCAGGCUUUUCUCAGCAACUUCAUCACUGUCAGCCUGAACUGUCAAUAAAGGAUAAUAAUCAGAAAGGCAAAUCAGUCCAGGAAGCUUCCUAGAAAUGUCCCUGACCCGUUCCUCAGCACACCUCCCUACAGGUAGAGUAAGGCCAACACAUAGGGCCCUCUGUUCCUCUCAGCAGGCAGUCACCUAUGACAAUCACCCUUCUGUCCUUCCGGGUGGAGGCAGUCUUGAGGCGUGAGGUCAACCACCUCACCUGAGGCAACCUCACAGGUGGACCCCCCUCCACACCCUCAUUCACCUCUCCCUUAAGUUCCAGGGCCUCAAACCUAUUUCACAGAGGCAACUGGGGAACAAAGGAUGGUCGGUCUGGCGGAUGCCCAAUUUGCCAAGCAAGUCUCUGUUUCCACUCCUCCUCUCUCAAAUUGCCUUGUUCUGCUCAGCAACAGCAGGGCAGGGGGUCCACCACUGUCUGGUGAACAUCACCCUGGUGCCCUUCUGGGAGAGAGUUACACCGCAGUACCAAGUGGGGAGAACCAUCAUCACCACCACUGUCCAGUUGUCCCUGCAGAGCACUGUACCUAUCCCACAGGGCCAGCUGGGGAGGCAGAGGAGUAUCUGGGCUGUUGCACCUGCAUUGCCAAGCAGGGACCUUUUGCUACUGCCCCACACCCCAUGAUUCUUCACCGUUGUUGCUAGGGGGAGGAGAGGACAGGGGGCUCACUGCAGCAGGAACACUGUCUGCCUGCCAGUUCCCCUCUGUCACCUGCUUGCAAGGCAACAGGGGGUGACGUGUUCCAUGUGGAACCUCAGCUGGCUGCCAAGAUCUCGGGGCUGAUAGGGACUGGCACCACCAAUCAAUCUCCUUCUCACAUUCCCUUAUGCUCCUCAGCCUCUCCACCUCCUCC